rnacentral:lncRNA from 1 species
AUAGAGUGCCUGGACAUCAACAUCAGAUCAAUUUGGAAUUUCAUGCAAAUAAAACACACCAACUUAAUGGGAUGUGAAAGAGUUGGCUUCAGAAUAAAUCUUUGUUGAAAGACACUGGAAUUACAUUUGAAAUGGAAGUGAAACAAAGUUGAAUUUUAUGGCACUGGCUUACAGGCUCUGUCUUGCGCUGUUUACAGAUUGACCCAAAUGAAGUGAAGAAGACCAGAAUCAGGACCCAUCCUGGCAUAUACCUUUCAGCUGAUAACAUGGAGAUAUGGACAGAAGGCCCCUUGUGUGACUUUGGAAGGAGAUUUUGAGGGUAAGAGAAGGAUUUGUCAUCAAAGAUUGCUACUCUGGUAUUGUGGCUUAGCUGCAGCAACUAUGCAGAACCGAACCCUUAGCAUCCAGCUCUCAAAGAGAUGUUGCGUUUUGGGAUGUUUGUAUAUGCAGAGGUUACAAACUACUUGAGGUAUGACUGAUUUUUGCUGCAUAACAAUUAAUCAAUUAUUUUAAUACCCAUGGGUCUGCAGGUUUUCUGAUUAAGAGGAGAAGCUCUACGGUAAGCCAGAGAAGAAAAGCAAGAAUCUAAGAACAAGGUGCUACUUGGUGUCUGCCAUCUGAGCCUAUGUAAUUUGGAGUUCCUAGCAGAGUAUGUAAUGCAUUCAGAGAGAGGUAUUUGUCUUUUCAAAAUAGGAUCCUGGACCUAAUGGGCACUGCUUGAAUUCAAUACUAGAAUACGAUUCUAAAUAUCAAUAAAGUUUAAGAUCAUAUACAUUGCAAUACUUCACAAGGUUUCUGGGUAGAGAUUUUAUGAAGAGAUGACAUAAUUAUUUUUUGAGUGUUCCUGACCCAAUACUCAAUAAAGAUAGCAGUAUACUGUUUACACGCAGGUGCAUAACGAAUUAUGAAGGACACAUAGUAAGUAAUAACCUCAGUGUCACAUUCCUCUCACAGUCUGAUGACUAUAGUUAAUAACUGUUUUUUUUUACCUUGAAAUUUGAUGAGAGCAGG